rnacentral:rRNA from 1 species
UAGCAUAUCAUAAGCGGAGGAAAAAGAAACCAACAGGGAUUGCCUCAGUAAACGGCGAGUGAAGCGGCAAAGAGCUCAAAUUUGAAAGCUGGGCCCCUUCGGGGUCCGCGUUGUAAUUUGCAGAGGAUGCUUCGGGUGCAGCCCCCGUCUAAGUGCCCUGGAACGGGCCGUCAUAGAGGGUGAGAAUCCCGUCUGGGACGGGGUGUCUGCGUCCGUGUGAAGCUCCUUCGACGAGUCGAGUUGUUUGGGAAUGCAGCUCUAAAUGGGUGGUAAAUUUCAUCUAAAGCUAAAUACUGGCCGGAGACCGAUAGCGCACAAGUAGAGUGAUCGAAAGAUGAAAAGCACUUUGAAAAGAGAGUUAAACAGCACGUGAAAUUGUUGAAAGGGAAGCGUUUGCGACCAGACUCGCCCGCGGGGUUCAGCCGGCAUUCGUGCCGGUGUACUUCCCCGUGGGCGGGCCAGCGUCGGUUUGGGCGGCCGGUCAAAGGCCCUCGGAAUGUAUCACCUCUCGGGGUGUCUUAUAGCCGAGGGUGCAAUGCGGCCUGCCUGGACCGAGGAACGCGCUUCGGCUCGGACGCUGGCGUAAUGGUCGUAAAUGACCCGUCUUGAAACACGGACCAAGGAGUCUAACAUCUACGCGAGUGUUCGGGUGUCAAACCCGUACGCGCAGUGAAAGCGAACGGAGGUGGGAGCCCCCUCGCGGGGCGCACCAUCGACCGAUCCUGAUGUCUUCGGAUGGAUUUGAGUACGAGCGUAGCUGUGGGGACCCGAAAGAUGGUGAACUAUGCCUGAAUAGGGCGAAGCCAGAGGAAACUCUGGUGGAGGCUCGCAGCGGUUCUGACGUGCAAAUCGAUCGUCAAAUUUGGGUAUAG